rnacentral:rRNA from 1 species
GAUGAACGCUGGCGGCGCGCCUAACACAUGCAAGUCGAACGAUUAAAGCACCUUCGGGUGUGUAUAAAGUGGCGAACGGCUGAGUAACACGUGGGCAACCUGCCCCUUUCAUUGUGAUAGCCACGGGAAACCGUGGAUAAUACCGAAUACUUCGAGACUUCCGCAUGGAAGACUCGAGAAAGCUCCGGCGGAGAGGGAUGGGCCCGCGGCCUGUUAGCUUGUUGGUGGGGUAACGGCCUACCAAGGCAAUGAUGGGUAGCUGGGUUGAGAGACCGACCAGCCAGAUUGGGACUGAGACACGGCCCAGACUCCUACGGGAGGCAGCAGUGGGGAAUCUUGCACAAUGGGCGAAAGCCUGAUGCAGCGACGCCGCGUGCGGGAUGAAGGCCUUCGGGUUGUAAACCGCUUUCAGCAGGGACGAGGCGAAAGUGACGGUACCUGCAGAAGAAGCCCCGGCUAACUACGUG